AGAGAGAUUGUGCUGGCCAUUUCAUAUGUGGCAUGUGCACGUCCCCUCGUCUUCUUUCGUCUGUCAUAUAUCACACCCACACCUGUGCACCAAUUGUAGAUCUUUCAAGUCGAUGUCGAUCGAACUCCUUGAUCUUUCUCAAGCUUAGUUACUAGGCAGUCUUUCGAGAGAAAGGCUGGCGAACACAAGCAAUGAAAAGAAAGAGGAUGAAAGUCGAUCUCGAUGUAAAGGAUAGAAUCAACUUUGUCAAUGUUGACGGAAGUUCUUGCUCUAGCUUAGUUAUUAGACAGUCUCGAAAGCAAGCUAGCAGUAUAUUGAUGUCGUUUCGAUCAAGCUUAGUUACUAGGCAGCCUUUCGAAAGAGAGGCUGGCGAAAGCAAGCCAAUGAUGGAUUCGAUGUCAGUCCUUGAUCUGAUCUCGUCAAGCUUAGUUAUUAGGCAGUCUUUGAGGCUGGCGAAAGCAAGCAGGAAGAGGAAGAGAGGAGAGGACAUGAGUCGAUGUUGAUGUUGAUGAUAUCAGGGAUCUAUGUUUUCAUCAUCACACACUAUUGUAUGGCCAGAAUGAUUAAAUAAAAAUACAACUUUCAGCAAUGGAUCUCUUGGUUCUCGCAUCGAUGAAGAACGCAGCGAAUUGCGAUAAGUAAUGUGAAUUGCAGAUUUCCAGUGAAUCAUCGAAUCUUUGAACGCAUCUUGCGCUCCUUGGUAUUCCGAGGAGCAUGCCUGUUUGAGUGUCAUUUAAUUAUCAACCAUCGAUCCUUAGGGAAAAGAUGGGUUGGAGUUGGGAGUUGCUGGCGUCGUCAGCUCUCCUUAAAAGCAUUAGCGACUAUGGAAGUCUUUCGACAUGCACGGCCAUUGACGUGAUAAUGAUCGUCGUGGCUGGAGUGUCUUUCCUAGACUAUGCUACAUAGAUCGCUUCUAACAAAGGAGAUCCUUGAUCUUUAUCCUUGCUUAGCUACUAGGGAGUCUCUGAAAAGAGGCUGGCCGAACCCAAGCAAAGAGAAAGGGAGAGGAGAUCAAAGUCGAUGUUGACGGUAAAUCCUUGAUCGGCUAGCUUAGUUACUAGGCAGUCUUUAGGCUGGCGAACGCAGGCGGAA
rnacentral:rRNA from 1 species